GACUGGUCCGAUGAUAGUGGGAUGUCUCAAUUGAUUGUUCACAGUCAGUUACAGAUUGAUCUCCUUGUUCUCUCGUUCCCCCCUUCCCACUACUGCACUUGACUGGUCUUUU
ensembl:Y_RNA Y_RNA Y RNA